UAGGGAAUCUUCGGCAAUGGACGAAAGUCUGACCGAGCAACGCCGCGUGAGUGAAGAAGGUUUUCGGAUCGUAAAACUCUAUUGUUAGAGAAGAACAAGGACGUUAGUAACUGAACGUCCCCUGACGGUAUCUAACCAGAAAGCCACGGCUAACUACGUGCCAGCAGCCGCGGUAAUACGUAGGUGGCAAGCGUUGUCCGGAUUUAUUGGGCGUAAAGCGAGCGCAGGCGGUUUCUUAAGUCUGAUGUGAAAGCCCCCGGCUCAACCGGGGAGGGUCAUUGGAAACUGGGAGACUUGAGUGCAGAAGAGGAGAGUGGAAUUCCAUGUGUAGCGGUGAAAUGCGUAGAUAUAUGGAGGAACACCAGUGGCGAAGGCGGCUCUCUGGUCUGUAACUGACGCUGAGGCUCGAAAGCGUGGGGAGCAAACAGG
rnacentral:rRNA from 1 species